GUAGCGGCGAGCGAAACGGGAAAAGCCCAAACCAAUGAGCUUGCUCAUUGGGGUUGUAGGACUCCGAUAUGGUAGUUCUUUCAGAUAGUCGAAUGACUUGGAAAAGUCAGUCAGAGAGGGUGAAAGCCCCGUAGAUGAAAUUUGGAAGGCACCUAGGAGGAUCCUGAGUACGGCGGAACACGAGGAAUUCCGUCGGAAUCCGGGAGGACCAUCUCCCAAGGCUAAAUACUCCCUAGUGACCGAUAGUGAACCAGUACCGUGAGGGAAAGGUGAAAAGCACCCCGGAAGGGGAGUGAAAUAGAACCUGAAACCGUGUGCCUACAACAAGUCAAAGCCCGUUAAUGGGUGAUGGCGUGCCUUUUGUAGAAUGAACCGGCGAGUUACGAUUGCAUGCGAGGUUAAGUUGAAGAGACGGAGCCGCAGCGAAAGCGAGUCUGAAUAGGGCGUUUGAGUAUGUAGUCGUAGACCCGAAACCAUGUGAUCUACCCAUGUCCAGGUUGAAGGUGCGGUAAAACGCACUGGAGGACCGAACCCACUUACGUUGAAAAGUGCGGGGAUGAGGUGUGGGUAGCGGAGAAAUUCCAAACGAACUUGGAGAUAGC
rnacentral:rRNA from 1 species